rnacentral:rRNA from 1 species
UACGGGGGGGGCAAGCGUUGUUCGGAAUUACUGGGCGUAAAGCGCGUGUAGGCGGCCCUGCAAGUCGGGUGUGAAAUCCCACGGCUCAACCGUGGAAGUGCACUCGAAACUGCAGGGCUAGAGUCCUGGAGAGGAAGGUGGAAUGCUUGGUGUAGAGGUGAAAUUCGUAGAUAUCAAGCGGAACACCGGUGGCGAAGGCGGCCUUCUGGACAGUGACUGACGCUGGGGCGCGAAAGCGUGGGGAGCAAACAGG